GUAGGGAAUCUUGCGCAAUGGGCGAAAGCCUGACGCAGCCAUGCCGCGUGAAUGAUGAAGGUCUUAGGAUUGUAAAAUUCUUUCACCGGGGACGAUAAUGACGGUACCCGGAGAAGAAGCCCCGGCUAACUUCGUGCCAGCAGCCGCGGUAAUACGAAGGGGGCUAGCGUUGCUCGGAAUUACUGGGCGUAAAGGGCGCGUAGGCGGAUCGUUAAGUCAGGGGUGAAAUCCCAGAGCUCAACUCUGGAACUGCCCUUGAUACUGGCGAUCUUGAGUGUGAGAGAGGUAUGUGGAACUCCGAGUGUAGAGGUGAAAUUCGUAGAUAUUCGGAAGAACACCAGUGGCGAAGGCGACAUACUGGCUCAUUACUGACGCUGAGGCGCGAAAGCGUGGGGAGCAAACAGGAUUAGAUACCCCGGUAGUCC
rnacentral:rRNA from 1 species